rnacentral:rRNA from 1 species
CAGUCGCCGCGGGAAUACGUAGGUGGCGAGCGUUGUCCGGAAUCAUUGGGCGUAAAGGGAGCGCAGGCGGGCAUGUAAGUCUUUCUUAAAAGUGCGGGGCUCAACCCCGUGAUGGGAAAGAAACUACAUGUCUUGAGUACAGGAGAGGAAAGCGGAAUUCCCAGUGUAGCGGUGAAAUGCGUAGAUAUUGGGAGGAACACCAGUGGCGAAGGCGGCUUUCUGGACUGCAACUGACGCUGAGGCUCGAAAGCCAGGGGAGCGAACGGGAUUAGAUACCCCUGUAGUCCCUGUCUCUUAUACA